UGAUGCUAGUUGGAGGCAGGACAGUGAGACUGAAGGUCCCUUUCCCAGCUCUCGCCGCUCGCCGCCCGCCGCCCGACCCCCGCCCAAGUAGCAAGGCCCUGGGGUCAAAAGCAACCUCCCCCGGGGACGAGGGGGUGCCUGGUCGGGAGGUGACUUACCUUCAGGUUAUCAGCUGACCCGCCCUGAACUUUGUUGGGGCUGUGCUUGGGGUCUCCCACAUGGGGCUUUUUGGAGGGGGACUCCACGGCUGCAGAGAGAAGAGAAACCGGGUGGGUUGGCGCCUGCGCGGGGUGUGAGUCUGGCGCCCUGCCGGUCGAGCGUCCGCCUCCUCCGGAGCGCACCUGCCGACAGGUCGAACUCCAUGGUGCCGAGAGCAGGAGGAGCCCCGUGUGAUAGACGAAGCAAAGGAGCCCUAAACGGUGCAGCCGGACGCUGGGCCAGCAGGCCGUGGGUCGGCACCGUGAGACCUUCUGAACCCGCAAUGAAGUACCUCUUCACGACGCUGCAAUGGAACUGGGCGGGCGGGGAGGGAAGGGGGCCGGGCCGUCUAGGCUCCCAGUUUUCGCCCCUGUAUUCUCUCUGGGACGUGGCGGCCUUCGCAGAGACGCCAAGACAGAGGCUUAAUGUGGGAGCCACACUUUUCUCUCCCACGAAAGCCUGAGCGUCAGAGAGUUGGGAGCAGGUGCGUGGGUGGCUCUGCGAGAUCACCCCGGGCCCGGCCUCCUUCUGUGCGGGGUGCUCUGCCUCCCUCCGACACAUUGCCCUUGGGCCCGUGGAGAGGCUGCGCCCCACCGUCGAGAUCUCCGGGAGAGACAGAGCGAGUCGAGGACACACCAUUUCCUUUGAAGGACCGGACCUGGAGCGGCACACAUCCCUGCAGUCAGGAUUUAGACACUUGGACACAUCCAGCUGCAAGGGAAACGGGGAGGCAGAGUCCUUAGCUGGGCAGCCAGCUGCAGCCUGGGGAUUCUAUUACUGAAGGGCAGGAGCAGAAAUGGACAUAAGAGGCCUGUCAUUCCCUUCUCCCUAUUGGUGGCAGCGAGUGUCCCUUACUCUUCUUCUCCAGAAAGGUUUCAAAUGGAGGUGACAUAAAGCGGGGAAGGUGGACAUAAACACUUGGAUGAAAAACCAAAGCGUGAGCUCCUAGCACAGGGACACGUCCAUGUGCUCCCGGGAAAGUGAGUUCCCUGCCAUUCAGCUCUCAUCUUCCAUGGCAGGGACAGUAGCUCUUGCCUGUCCUCCCCAGGCCCUGCCUGCCCCUGGCAUCUAGUGACACGGCCCUCCCCUGCUUGUUUCCUCAUGAUUUCUGCCUAAAUGACUUGGUCCUAAGGGUAUAAGCCAUGCCUUCUCCUUUGUAGGAAAAAAGGUUUGCGUCAGCCACUGGCCUUUGAUCCCCAGGUCAUUCCCUGCCAGAGCCGCUGACCCUUUCUCCAACCCUUCAGAGGGUCACUCCAACACUGAGGUUGUUACGCCAUCACUGCAACCUAGAAAGCAGUUUCUGGAUGCCAGCUUUAGGGCUAUAGGACCGAGGCGCACACGGCUGCGGGCCGGGCGCUCCCACAUGUCUGCAGGCUGCCGUGGUGAGAUGCAGAGGCCCGAUGCUGAAGGCCUGGUUUCACUGUGUCCUGAAACUUACACGACCAGAGCACCCCAUCCUGUAAACAUCGUAAUCCCUGUUCUGGAAUGUUUUCUUUGAGUCUAACCACAUCCCAGGAGACGGAGGACCUUAAGAACACAGCGUGCAGGGCCUCAGGUUCCUUUCCCACAAGACAGAAACACUGCGCGGGCCCUGGCUGUUCUGGAACACUAACAGAGCGUCUUUUGGGAAGCGCCAAGGGAAGCCCAAGCUUGGCCUACACCCAGCUGACUGCUGUGUCUGGGAUUUGAUUUUAUUCUAUUUACAAGCUAAUAAAUUAGCCUGGUCACGGUUUCCAAAAUGUUGGCAGAAACCUUGAGACUCCUGGGUCAGAGACGAAAGGCUUCAUUGCAGCAGCUGUGCGCGAGCAUCAACAUGGGGGCUGGUCUCCCUUGCCCAACUGUGCACGGGUGGGCGCUGGCUGAUUGCGUUGCAAUAGAGGGACGCCGAGCAGGGCACCUGCCACUUUGUAACAAACAGUAGGCAGCCUGUGGUUUUUUCUAGAGGGACCCAUUACCCCACCUCCUCCCUCAGGGUGCUCCCUGCAACCUGCCCCUGAGAGAUUAACAGGGCUGGAGCAGGCACAGGUGGUUGUGUAAGUUCCAGGGGGAUCAGAGAUAAAGAGGGCAACCUGGGGAGGUUGUGAGACCAGUGUAAGGUCAGGAGACCCAUCAGAACAAGGCAGUCAGGCUUCCCUCGUGCAGGUGCCAGACUUGCCCCAGGUCCUUGGGUGGGGGAUGGGAUGGGGGCUGCACGCAGAUUCUCAGCAAGGGCAAGAGUUUGAAGACCCCCUUCAGCUGGUUUGAAUACACAUCUUACUGGAUUCUAAGGAGGAGCUACUGGGCCCAGAAAGGAAGAGGCGGGCCUUCCCAACCUAAGGCCCCCUGGAUGAUACAACGUGGCCCACCUGGUCCUCGGGCAGAGCUUCCUUGGCUGCCUGCUUGCAUCUCUCACAGGCGUCCCUUCCUAAUCAAUCUGCUCCUUACCUCUCACGUUGUCUCUCUCGGAAUCCUGCCUGCACAGAGGCAUAAGGAACCUGAACCUCAGUGAGUCCAGACAUCAGGGGACGAGUGCUUUGUGGCCAGCUUGCCAGCCCGACGGACACCCACGCAUGGUGGGCACCGCUGGGGACCCCUUGCCUACCACUCCCUUGGGGCCGCUCCUCGGGAUCAUCUGAAGUGGUGCCAGGUUGUCACUCUCCCUCCAAGGAUGAAGAACCAAUGACUCCCAUCCCAGCAGUGCUCCAGACGGUGUGGAGGGCGCGCUCCUGGUUUCUUCUGGCCACCCUGAUCAGGCAGACCACGGAGGCGCCCAGCAAGAGGACCAGGACCAUCACGAACAGCCCUGCCAGGACCACCACUGUGGGUGAGAGAAAGGCCUCAGAACCAGCAGGACAAGGCAGGCCACAGCAGUGUCCACAUGGGCUCAGGAGGACCAGCAGCCCCCGGGCCAGAUGCUCCCCCCACCCUAACCUGGGAGGGUCUGGAGAACUGACACCACCGCACAGGAAAUUAUCACGGACAGUCCCGGUAGGGACUCUUGAGAAAGAUGUUUCUGAAAAAAGGAGGGGCUGAGCUAUGUGCAGA